rnacentral:rRNA from 1 species
CGGUCUUGAAUAGGCCAGACAAAUGGACAUUUGAUCCAUUGAUUGAAGGCGUAGAGAAAUCAAAUCAUGUGAUCAUGGGGACAACAACAGUCCUUAUGCGCAACAUGUGCCUGUUCGUAUAACAAUGUUAGUAAUAACUUGUUGGGCGGAGCAAAGAGAUGCUUGAUUGGUACCCGAAAGAUGGUGAACUAUGCUUGGGCAAAUUGAAGCCAGAGGAAACUCUGGUGGAGGAUUGUAGCGAUUCUGACGUGCAAAUCGAUCGUCAGACCUGAGUAUAGGGGCGAAAGACUAAUCGAACCAUCUAGUAGCUGGGUUCCUUCCG